UUAAUUUCUUCAAAUUUGAAGCAUGACGUUAAUGGGGUACCAGCACAACUUCAUUGACUGCUACGUGGCGCUGGUGGUAACUAAGGUAUUGCAUCGCUCAUAUCACUUGAAAAAAACAUUUACCCUAGUUACGACCAAAGCUGCUUAGCAGAGGGCGAUACCUCAUCAGGAGCGCCACAAUCAUAUCAUUGGUGUGAAAGCAUUUGUAUGAAGUUUUUCAGUUCUCAAUGUGUUCAAAACCUUAAUUGUGAAAUUGUGCACUUCGAAUUCAAAUUUACGUCACUACGUUAGUUUGACAUCCAUUGAUGUCACGGUAAUUUCACUGUUAUGCUGUGCUGCUUUCAGGUUUAAUGACACGAAUGAGUACAAGUACAUUACAUAUUUUUUUACGACGAAGGCCUUCUGUAAUUUCAUACGCUUCUUACGCAACAUUCAAUAGAUUUAUUUACUGUAUUAUCAUUUCGACCAAGGCGAAUUCGACACUUCAAUUACACAAGCACAAUCAAACUUAGUCAUUCCAGUCAGUUACUGAAGCACAGCGAAAACUGUCUGAAUUAGUGCUGCUGAUGGCAUGUAAUUACUCUACUACCACUACCAGUGACAGUCAAUGUCCAUAUAUUUUCAAGUGUGCGAAAUUAGUACUCGUCUACUUCUUAGUGUUAUUUGAAUGCAAUGUAUGUUAUAAAAAUAUUUUUUCAACACUAUAUCAACAUUCUCAUUCCUGUCAGUUUCUGAAAAUCAGCUAAAGCAAUCGCUACCAAUGCAGCUGAUAACAGCAAUUCUUUUUGUUCCCAAUGCCCAUCCAUGACAAUAUAUUUCACGCAUGUGACAAGCAUGUGACAAUCAUGUAAUCGUCCUGUUUUUUGUGUUCUUUUCAUGCAAUAAAUAAAUUCAGUAUUUUCAAAUCAUUGGUGCUACAAAACUAUUCUCAUUAUAGAUUAUUCAUAUUUUAUAAAAUGCUGUCAUGUCAAAUUUUGUGUCCUAUAAAUCAUUAUGAAGUCGGCAUUUUAUAUACAACUUUUGUACUCCUCCUAAAUAAACAUACAAAUCUUGUUUUAUGUAAACUUUGUAUAUGUGACCCGUCACAGCAAAACCAGGCGCAUGUCGCUCUGAGCUUGGCAGGUUGAGACGGACUGUUUGUUCAUUUAUCUAUUGUCUGCCUUUUGUAAAAUAUGAGCACAUCAAUUUCUUCCAUUAUCUCCUGGUGUCAUUUAGGCUCAUCUUCUGUGCGACAUGUACCUGGUUUUGCUGUGACGGGUCACAUAUUCUAUAGAUAUACAACACUCUAAUGUCACAAUGCCUCUCUCACUCGCUUUUAUAUAGCAAGAUGUAUGAAUAAACAUGACACACCAACUAUGUACAAAAUUGCUAACAAACUGCACCAUUUGUCAGUACACCACAUGAAAUACAGAGAUAUGUCUUAAUUCUAAUCUUUCAUUAGCGACACCAUUUCUUACCAGAGUGCCUCCUUCAUUCAUACAUCUUGUACUUUAACUCAAGAUACCCAUCUUUGAAUAUUUUUAGUAUACCAAGUACUACAAUGUCAAUGUAUUGAAGUCAUGUUCUUGUAGUGUUAUUGGCUUUCUAUUAUCUUGUCAAAAUACCACUUGGUUCUCGCAAAAUCUCAAUAAAAACAAAUGCUAUUGCAUGUAUUGCAUAUUCUAACAGCUAUCCACUGUAUCGAUUUAUCCAUCAUCUGUACUAUUUGUCACAAAAAUGUUAUAUUAUGUAAAUCAUAUUUCAUUACAUAAUGCACACUGCCAAUUACUGCUGAACCAUUCAUAUGUCAUUUAAAUAAAUAAUUUUCAACUUUUUAAAA